CCCGUAUAUUGUUUUUUAAAUUCAAAAAACACUCGUCUUUAACCGUGUGGGGCUUCUUUUUUUUUUUUUUGCUAUUGUUUUUUCCUUUUCCUAAGAAAAAAAAAGGUCACAGGCUCCAUCGCCCGAUUACUCACUCGUAUCGCGCGUCCUUGCGCGGAGGAAGAGUUUAAGAAAGAGUGCCCGAAAUUUCCUCCUCAAUUCGCCUAAAAUACUGUAAUAACUACAAGGUUUGAUAUGCAAGUGUUUCCCCCGAUUCUUAGCCCUAAACUAGGUGAUGCUUAGUUUUCCCAAGUUGGUAGGCUAAUGCCAUUGCUGAGUUUCGGUUGUCGAUCAUACAGGGAUAUCAACCGUUUCUGAUACAAGGAAGAAAGAAAACAGCAGAGCAAAGCAGAUCGCCAUUGCGAAAAGAUCAUGGAAUGCACAAUGGUAGCCGAGGAACCAAGCCCUAAGAGAUCGAUUGAGAGUAGGCUUCAGAUCAAAGUGAAACUACUGUAGGGAUACGAGGGUCGAUACUCUAGAGAGUCUUUAAACUCGCUUCAUGAAAAAGGUAAAAAGGAAAAGAAGUGGAAAAAUAAAAGCAACGGUGAAAAGGUUAAAAGCUGAGAUGGUAGAGAUUGCUGAGCAACAAAAACAUAUUAGAGAAGGGCAAAAGGAAGUCAGAGAGAAGUUUGAAGAGAUUGAGUUUCAAUGUGAUGAACUCAAAAAGGAAACGUUCCUGAUAUCACAACAAGCUGCAAGCAAUCAGAAGCGCCUAAAUCUCAUGUUCAAAAUUUUGAAAGCACGAGAUGAGAACAAUUUUCAUGAAGCUGCCAGUCUUACCCAGUCUCUUCGAGAAUGCAUGAGAAGCAAAUCACAGAGCAAUACUCAAGUGGUUGUGGAUGCGAGUGGCACAGUUGGAAAAGAAUAACAGGAAUCAGCCAUGCAUGAAAUCCAAGAUCACUGGAAAUGGCUUUAUGGGUGUGUUUUCAAUAAUUUGGCUUGUCAUGUAAGUAACUGUUGGAGUGUUAAGAUCAAUAGCUUUCAACUGUUAGUUUGUUUUAAAAUUAAUGUUGAAUCUGCUACUUUGAUUGUUGCAAACGCUUAUGUUGAGUCUGGCUUUGCUUAUUAGCUACUGGAAUGGCCUAAAAGUUAAUAAUCUCUUUUACUAUGGUAGGCAAGGAGAAAUCUUUCUGGA